UUUCCAAAACUGUUUGCAACAUGAAACAACUUUCUUAAAGCAACUCUCUCCUUCCCAAGCUCCAUAUAGUUAGUAUUAAAGUCAGACAAACAUGUGCACACUAUUGUUAGCCCAACCCAUUAAGUAGACUAAGAUGCUGGCCCAUAAAAUUGGUUCCCUUGGGCUAGUAAUUCGGUGCUGCAUCUUCUAAGACGGGAAAUGGAUUUGGACUGAAUAGUGAAUUGGAUCAAGCACACACGCGCGCAACCCACGCUCCUCCCCUCGAACCAACCGCUCCUUCCCCCAAAGCCAGUCACUCACCGGUCGCCGACCUUCUGGUUUUUCACAGGAGCUUAGCCGGUAGCGUCAUGGCUCCUAAGCGAGCUAUUACUGUUGACAAGGGCAAGACUCCAAAUGUGGAUAUAGUUGAAUCAUCAACUGAGGGAAGUGUGAUUAUGACACUUCCGACUAUCAAGAGAUUGAGUUGGAAUCUCAAGACGACUUGAUGCUCGACAAGAAUUGCUCCGGGUCGAGGAAGCGUGGUUCUUCUUCUAAGGGUAGUAAGAAGUGUUUCGUGCUUAGGUCAUAGGGACCACGAGCAUUGCCUUACACUCUUCAUACUGAGACCAUUCCUGAUACCGGUCUUCUUAGGAAUUUGGUGACACACCCAUCUCCUUGUGUUCGAUAUAGUAUGCGGAGCAAGUCCAUGGGUCGUGGGCGUAAAACAUGGGCCAAAUUCCACUGCUGUCUUAGAGGAGCUCACGAUCAGUACCGGAGCUUUCUAUACGACUUGGGCUUUGUGGGGGCUUUUUUUGUAUUGUUAGGCCUCAACCCCUUAUGUUGUGCUAUGGCCCGUUAGUCUGAGGUAAGAGAGUUGGGACUAGCCUUGCUUGGAUUGCACUUCAGGCCAGCUUGUGCACAAGUCAAGCUCACCCAAUGUAGACACAUCCUAACAUGAAUGCUGUGGGCUAAACGUAAGGUGUGGACACAACAAAUAUAACUAUUACAAGUGUUACGGCAAGAAUACACUACAACAAGAUAACUAUGAUAAUAAGACGUAUUAAAUAAAACUAACACUAUAAACAAA